rnacentral:rRNA from 1 species
UACGGAGGGUGCGAGCGUUAAUCGGAAUUACUGGGCGUAAAGCGCGCGUAGGCGGCUUGUCAAGUUGGUUGUGAAAUCCCCGGGCUCAACCUGGGAACUGCAGCCGAUACUAGCAAGCUAGAGUACGAGAGAGGGGGGUGGAAUUCCUAGUGUAGCGGUGAAAUGCGUAGAUAUUAGGAGGAACACCAGUGGCGAAGGCGGCCCCCUGGUUCGAUACUGACGCUGAGGUGCGAAAGCGUGGGUAGCAAACAGG